CCCUUAGAUGUCCUGGGCUGCACGCGCGCUACACUGAUGCGUCCAAUAAGCACCUAACCUAAUCCGAAGGGACCGGGUAACCUUAGCAAAGCGCAUCGUGAUGGGGAUAGAUUAUUGCAAUUAUUAGUCUUGAACGAGGAAUUCCUAGUAAGCGCAAGUCAUCAGCUUGUGUUGAUUACGUCCCUGCCCUUUGUACACACCGCCCGUCGCUCCUACCGAUUGAGUGGUCCGGUGAGGCUUUGGGAUCUGAGCGGAAAGAGCGUUUCGCUGUUUCUGCUCGGAAAACUCAGUCGAACCUUAUCAUUUAGAGGAAGGAGAAGUCGUAACA
rnacentral:rRNA from 1 species